rnacentral:rRNA from 1 species
UACGUAGGGUGCAAGCGUUGUCCGGAAUUAUUGGGCGUAAAGAGCUCGUAGGCGGUUUGUCGCGUCGGCUGUGAAAACCUGGGGCUCAACCCCGGGCCUGCAGCCGAUACGGGCAAACUAGAAUUCGGUAGGGGAGACUGGAAUUCCUGGUGUAGCGGUGAAAUGCGCAGAUAUCAGGAGGAACACCGGUGGCAAAGGCGGGUCUCUGGGCCGAUAUUGACGCUGAGGAGCGAAAGCGUGGGGAGCGAACAGG